CAGUGUACCCGCGGCAAGACGGAAAGACCCCGUGAACCUUUACUAUAGCUUGACACUGAACAUUGAGCCUUGAUGUGUAGGAUAGGUGGGAGGCUUUGAAGUGUGGACGCCAGUCUGCAUGGAGCCGACCUUGAAAUACCACCCUUUAAUGUUUGAUGUUCUAACGUGGACCCGUAAUCCGGGUUGCGGACAGUGUCUGGUGGGUAGUUUGACUGGGGCGGUCUCCUCCUAAAGAGUAACGGAGGAGCACGAAGGUUGGCUAAUCCUGGUCGGACAUCAGGAGGUUAGUGCAAUGGCAUAAGCCAGCUUGACUGCGAGCGUGACGGCGCGAGCAGGUGCGAAAGCAGGUCAUAGUGAUCCGGUGGUUCUGAAUGGAAGGGCCAUCGCUCAACGGAUAAAAGGUACUCCGGGGAUAACAGGCUGAUACCGCCCAAGAGUUCAUAUCGACGGCGGUGUUUGGCACCUCGAUGUCGGCUCAUCACAUCCUGGGGCUGAAGUAGGUCCCAAGGGUAUGGCUGUUCGCCAUUUAAAGUGGUACGCGAGCUGGGUUUAGAACGUCGUGAGACAGUUCGGUCCCUAUCUGCCGUGGGCGCUGGAGAACUGAGGGGGGCUGCUCCUAGUACGAGAGGACCGGAGUGGACGCAUCACUGGUGUUCGGGUUGUCAUGCCAAUGGCACUGCCCGGUAGCUAAAUGCGGAAGAGAUAAGUGCUGAAAGCAUCUAAGCACGAAACUUGCCCCGAGAUGAGUUCUCCCUGAGACUUAGAGUCUCCUGAAGGAACGUUGAAGACGACGACGUUGAUAGGCCGGGUGUGUAAGCGCAGCGAUGCGUUGAGCUAACCGGUACUAAUGAACCGUGAGGCUUAACCUUACAACGCCGAAG
rnacentral:rRNA from 1 species